UUAUUUGAAAUAUUAGUUAUAAAAAAAGAAGAAGAAGAAAUCAGUCAUCAAUUUGUUCAGGAAGAACAAAAAAAUAAACGAUGUUGUUCAAAAAUGGCAGCUGUUUAUUAAGAAAAAAAGAAGGGCACCCAUCGUGUUGAACGGGCUUCAAACAAAUGACAAUUGAUAAGUGUGACAGGUGAUUGAAUGAUGAAAAACAAAGACUUGGAAUUAGUGGAACGAUGAAGGAAACGUAUAAUUUCUUCCAUCCAUCCAUGGUGCAUCUCUGGUGGUAUAUACACAAGGAAGGUAACAGUGGAAUUUCUCUCUGGAGAGGACCUACGUGCAUUUCUCGCUGUGGCCGCAGAAA
rnacentral:lncRNA from 1 species